UGCAGACGAGGUAACAAAAUCUCUUUUUCAUUUAACAAGAGUAUACGUUACAGGACCCGGUGGGUCAGGAAAAAAAAAAGAAAGAGAAAGAAGAAGAAGAAGAAGAUACACGUCAUCGCAAGCCUCGCAAACAUGGUUCGGGAAGGAUGAACCGGAGGCCGCUCCGAGCUGCAAACUCCUCUUCCCGUCUCUGUCCUUCUCAGUCGCGUUCUCCAGUGCGUGUAA
rnacentral:lncRNA from 1 species